UGCAGUCGAGCGGUAACAGAAAGUAGCUUGCUACUUUGCUGACGAGCGGCGGACGGGUGAGUAAUGCUUGGGAACAUGCCUUGAGGUGGGGGACAACAGUUGGAAACGACUGCUAAUACCGCAUAAUGUCUACGGACCAAAGGGGGCUUCGGCUCUCGCCUUUAGAUUGGCCCAAGUGGGAUUAGCUAGUUGGUGAGGUAAUGGCUCACCAAGGCAACGAUCCCUAGCUGGUUUGAGAGGAUGAUCAGCCACACUGGAACUGAGACACGGUCCAGACUCCUACGGGAGGCAGCAGUGGGGAAUAUUGCACAAUGGGCGAAAGCCUGAUGCAGCCAUGCCGCGUGUGUGAAGAAGGCCUUCGGGUUGUAAAGCACUUUCAGUCAGGAGGAAAGGGUGUGAGUUAAUACCUCAUAUCUGUGACGUUACUGACAGAAGAAGCACCGGCUAACUCCGUGCCAGCAGCCGCGGUAAUACGGAGGGUGCGAGCGUUAAUCGGAAUUACUGGGCGUAAAGCGUACGCAGGCGGUUUGUUAAGCGAGAUGUGAAAGCCCCGGGCUCAACCUGGGAACUGCAUUUCGAACUGGCAAACUAGAGUGUGAUAGAGGGUGGUAGAAUUUCAGGUGUAGCGGUGAAAUGCGUAGAGAUCUGAAGGAAUACCGAUGGCGAAGGCAGCCACCUGGGUCAACACUGACGCUCAUGUACGAAAGCGUGGGGAGCAAACGGGAUUAGAUACCCCGGUAGUCCACGCCGUAAACGAUGUCUACUAGAAGCUCGGAACCUCGGUUCUGUUUUUCAAAGCUAACGCAUUAA
rnacentral:rRNA from 1 species